CUACGGGUGGCUCCAGUGAGGAAUAUUGCACAAUAGGGGGAACCCUGAUGCAGCAACGCCGCGUGGAGGAUGACGCAUUUCGGUGUGUAAACUCCUUUUAUAUGUCAAGAAAAUGACGGUAGCAUAUGAAUAAGCACCGGCUAGACUCCGUGCCAGCAGCCGCGGUAAUACGGAGGGUGCAAGCGUUACUCGGAAUCACUGGGCGUAAAGGACGCGUAGGCGGGUUGGAAAGUCAGGUGUGAAAUCCUACAGCUUAACUGUAGAACUGCACUUGAAACUUCUAAUCUAGAGUAUGGGAGGGGGAGAUGGAAUUAGUGGUGUAGGGGUAAAAUCCGUAGAUAUCACUAGGAAUACCUAAAGCGAAGGCGAUCUCCUGGAACAUUACUGACGCUAAGGCGUGAAAGCGUGGGGAGCAAACAGGAUUAGAUACCCCAGUAGUC
rnacentral:rRNA from 1 species